AUCACCACCACCACCAUCAUCAUCACUACUAUCAUCAUCAUCAUCAUCAUCAUCAUCAUCAUCCCUGUGUGACGUAUGUGUAUGAGACACACAUGGACCCCAAAGGGCGUGGGAGUAGCUGCCAUGCGAGGAAGGGUCUCUCUUGUUGCUGCUGCAGUGUGUGCUCCAGGCUAACCGACUUUGUUCUCAUUUUUCCGUCUCCACCUGCAAUAUCACCUCAGUGGUUCUGGGAUCACACACACCCGGGAGAAAGAUUGCUCCCUGGUCAGGCCAGAACAAAGAUGGCAGAUUUGCAGCUCAUUGAGAAGAUUAAAUCACAUAACAUCAAAGAUUAUUUAAAGCUGGUACAGUUCAAGGCACUGAAAUGACAGAAGUCACUGGAAGAGUGGAGAGGGUACCAAUGCCUAAGUCAGCAACCUAAGGAAUCAUCUUAAUGUGCCAUGCCUAAGUCAACAACCUAAAGAACUGUCUUAAUGCCCAAAGUCUUCACCAUGACUCUUAUCUGGAUUAAUUCACCUCGUUAUUUUAUAUUCCAAGUUCUUGUCAUGGAGCAAAAGUCUAUUCAUGUAGAGUUCAAUAUCAUAUGUCAUAUCUGUUCUUUCAAAUAGCGAUACUUUGUUGCAUUUGAUCUUUAAAGAUUCCCCAACAUUCAAAUGUGUGCUAAAUGGCACAGAAGAUACAUAAGCACUCUGCUAUGCCACCAUUGAGGGGUGUCCCCAGCCACCAUUCUUCUGGUAUGGAUAUGUUUCUUGAGUUAUUAUUACUAUGAUGUUCUUUCCUUAAGUCUACAUACUUUCAGAUUAUCUUACAGAUCGCUAUGAUAGGUCAUUCUUUUAUAAAGGAGAAUAGUUAAAUUGGUGAUGCUUAUGAAUUCCAGCUUAUAUUUUAAAAUUACCAACAAAGUUGACCUUAGAGCAUGCAUUUUCAUUGGCUCAGGGUUUUCUGUACUGCAGAGGUAGAGGCUUCUCUUGCGGAAAUAGACACCAGUUGUUCAAGGCAUAUCUUGUCUUCAGUCUCACCUCACAUUAAUGUGUGGGGGAAAAGCCUAUCCCUUUACCUCAUAGCUUGUACUUGUACUUUCCUGAGCCUGGAGUUUAGUGGAGCAUACAUUAGACUGAGAAGUUUUGUUACACGAUGGAUUCUUUUAAUCGUCUUUUGCUGAAAAGGAUCAUGUUGUUGCAUACAGGGAACAACUUCAUAUUCACCAUAUCAUUAAACAUGUCUGAAGCGUUACUGUUCCUGACUGCUCCCAACAUGUCCAGUGUGGAAUACCACAGUGCUCCAUCUACUUUCACUUAGGCUGGACACAGCACUUAAAUACAGCCUUUGCUCUGAAGUCGGCAGCCUGAGAACAUCACCCGCGUUGCUUAUGCUGCUCGAUAAUGAAUACAUUUGGAG
rnacentral:lncRNA from 1 species